UGAGGAAUAUUGGUCAAUGGGCGAGAGCCUGAACCAGCCAAGUCGCGUGAGGGAAGACGGUCCUACGGAUUGUAAACCUCUUUUGUCGGGGAGCAAUAAAGCGUACGCGUACGCAGAUGCGAGUACCCGAAGAAAAAGCAUCGGCUAACUCCGUGCC
rnacentral:rRNA from 1 species